CGAUAAGCUUCGGGGAGUUGCACGUAAACUUUGAUCCGAAGAUUUCCGAAUGAGGAAACUCACUUAGAGUAAUGUCUAAGUAUCAUUAAGGGAAUACAUAGCUUAAUGAGGGGAACUCAGGGAACUGAAACAUCUAAGUACCUGAAGGAAGAGAAAGAAAUUCGAUUCCGUAAGUAGCGGCGAGCGAACGCGGAUUAGCCCAAACCAAUAAAGUUUUCUUUAUUGGGGUUGCGGACAUAUCAUAACGAAGAGG
rnacentral:rRNA from 1 species